UUGCUGUGUCGGGGUUAUGGCACAGCUUUCCUCCCUGUUGGACUGGCCGGGCUUUGCGCCCGGCCUUUUUU
rnacentral:ncRNA from 1 species